CUUGCUCCACGCCCACACGGAGCAAUCCCCAACCGCACAAACCGGCGGAGGAGGAGAAGCGAUGAAGCAUUUCUAAGACGUUACAGCGUCUGUCCUCGCAGGAAUUUCAAGGCCGCCGCCUUUAUGACCAAAGACGCGAGGGCAGCCCCCCCAAAAAAUAAGCCAAACGUAACAACCAUGCAGUUCAAAUUCAGACGGAUUUGAGCUCCCAAGCUGACAUCGCCGCAUCCUUCCCGGUUCUCAUCAGCUUCGCCCCCGCCUCCUCCUCCUCAUCAUGUCCGUGCAAGAGCACUGCUACCCGGAGCCGUUCCUGGCGCUCCAGGCCGGUCCGGAGCGGAUGCGGGUGGAGAUCGAGCGGCUGUCCCGGGAGCUGAGCCAGACCACGGACGAGAAGAUCCGGGCUGCCGAGUACGGACUGGCGGUGCUGGAGGAGAAGCAGCAGCUGAAGCAGCAGUACGACGAGCUGGAGGUGGAGUAUGAGGCUGUCCGGCAGGAGCUGGAGCAGAUCAAGGAGGCCUUCGGACAAGCGUACUCCAACCACAGGAAAGUGGCAGCGGACGGCGAGAGCCGCGAGGAGACCCUCAUCCAGGAGUCGGCGUGCAAGGAGGCCUACUACGAGCAGAGGGUCCUGGAGCUGCAGAACGAGCUCCGCCAGACCCGCAGCGUUGUCGCCAACGCCCAGUUUGAGAACGAGCGCCUGACGGCCAUCGCGCAGGGAAUGAGAGAGGGCAACCAGAUGCUGGAGCUCCAAAGGAACCAGCUGCGUGACGACAUCAAGGAGUACAAGUUCCGGGAGGCUCGUCUGCUGCAGGACUACACGGAGCUGGAGGAGGAAAACAUCUCGCUGCAGAAGCAAGUCUCCGGGCUGAAACAGAGCCAGGUGGAGUUUGAGGGUUUGAAGCACGAAAUCCGCCGUCUGGAGGAGGACACGCAGUUCCUCAACAGCCAGCUGGAGGACGCCAUCCGCCUGAAGGAGAUCGCCGAGCGUCAGCUGGGCGAAGCCCUGGAGACCAUCAAGACCGAGCGGGAGCUGAAGGCGUCCCUGAGGAAGGAGCUGUCGCACUACAUGAACAUCGGCGAUUCGCUCUACAACAGCCCUCUCUGCAUCUCCCUGGACGGGCUGAAGUUCUACGACGACGCCGCCAGCGAGCCCAACAACGACGAGGCCCUGCACGGCUACGACAACGGCUUUAGCAAACUGCUCAGCGACGACAACCGCGCCUCCAAGGAGGAGGAGCUCUUCCGUCCGGCGCCGAGUCUGGUGGACGACCUGCUGAGCGAGCUUAACAUCUGUGAGAUCCAGAAGCUCAAGCAACAGCUGGUGCAGAUGGAACGCGAGAAGGUGACCCUGCUCUCCACCCUGCAAGACUCCCAGAAACAACUGGAGCAGGCCAACGGUGCUCUGUCCCACCACCAGGAGAAGGUGAACCGCCUGACCGAGAACCUCAACGCCAUCCGGAAGCUUCAGGCCAGCAAGGAGCGCCAGUCGGCCCUGGACAACGAGAAGGAACGCGACAGCAACGAGGACGGAGACUACUACGAGGUGGACAUCAACGGACCGGAGAUCCUGGAGUGCAAGUACAAGGUGGCCGUGUCAGAAGCCGGGGAACUGAAGGAGGAACUGAAGACUCUGAAGGCGGAAUACCAGACCUGUCAGUCGCGUUACCAAGAGGAGCGCACGCGGCUGGAGAGCCAUGUCAGCUCACUUGGAGAGAAGCUGAGCUCUCUGGAGAAGACCAGUGGUCUAGAGAAGGAGGAGAAGGUCAAGCUGGAGAAGGAGCUGCGCAAGCUUAGCGAUGUCGCCGGCGAGUCUCAGGGCAGUCUGAGUGUGGCUCAGGACGAGCUGGUCACCUUCAGCGAAGAACUAGCGACCCUCUACAACCACGUGUGCAUGUGCAACAACGAGACUCCCAACCGCGUCAUGCUGGAUUUCUACAAGGAGGGCAAAGGCGGGCACAGCAGCCCGGAAGGACGCGGACGGCGCUCUCCCAUCCUGCUCACCAAGGGCCUCUUCCCAGAGCCUCUGAGAAACGAUCUGAGCGACUGUUCCCUAUCACCCGGCUCAUCCCAGCCAUCUCCCGUGUCGGACCACCGCCGCGAGCCCAUGAACAUCUACAACCUGGUUGCCAUCAUCCGAGACCAGAUCAAGCACUUGCAGCUCGCCGUGGACCGCACCACGGAGUUGUCGCGCCAGAGGGUGGCCUCUCUGGAGCUGUGCACGGUGGCCGACAAGGACAAGGAGGCCUGCAUGGAGGAGAUCCUGAAGCUCAAGUCCCUGCUCAGCACCAAGAGGGAGCAGAUUGCCACUCUGAGGACUGUGCUGAAGGCCAACAAGCAGACCGCUGAAGUUGCUUUGGCAAACCUGAAGAGCAAGUACGAGAACGAGAAGGCCAUGGUGACGGAGACCGUGAUGAAGCUGAGGAACGAUUUGAAAACUCUGAAGGAAGACGCCGCAACCUUCUCUUCCCUGCGAGCCAUGUUUGCCACACGGUGUGACGAGUACGUGACGCAACUGGAGGAGAUGCAGAGGCAGCUGGCGGCGGCGGAGGACGAGAAGAAGACCCUCAACUCUCUGCUCAGGAUGGCCAUCCAGCAGAAGUUGGCCCUCACGCAGCGUCUGGAGGACCUGGAAUUCCACCACGAGCAGUCCCGCCGCACGGGCGCCGCCGCCCGCUCCAAGGCUCGCCACAGGGCGUCCGCCGUCGCCGCCAACGCCGGACAGCCCCUCGCCCGCGCCGCCGAGCGGCCCGACGCCGUGCCCGCCGGCAUCGUGGGAGGUCCCGGUGUCUUCUGCAGCGAGAAGUACAAAAUCUACUGCGACUGAAGGGAGGCGGGAUUUGAUGGCCACGCCCACUUUUCUUUGUGUUUUAAAAAAGCUCGCUUUGCUUCCUGGUCCGCCUUCAUGACUUUUGUUUGACUAACAUCCGCUUUUGUCACGCUUGCAGAGUACAGGUGUGUCCUGUACAGGUGUGUACGUCCUGUACAGGUGUAUUCUACGCAGGUGUGUCGUGUACAGGUGUGUUCUACACAGGUGUGUCCGUCCUGCACAGGUGUAUUCUACGCAGAUGUGUCCUGUACAUGUGUGUUCUACACAGGUGUGUCUUGGACAGGUGUGUCCUGUGCACAGGUGUGUCCUGGACAGGUGUGUCCUGUACAGGUGUUCCCUGCACAGGUAUACCUGUAAAAGUGUGUCCUACACGGGUGUGUCCUUUACAGGUGUGUCCUGUACAGGUGUGUCCUGUACAGGCGUGUAUGUCCUGUUCAGGUGUAUUCUACGCAGGUGUAUCCAGUACAGGUGUAUUCUACGCAGGUGUGUCCAGUACAGGUGUAUUUUACGCAGGUGUGUCCAUUACAGGUGUAUUUGACGCAGGUGUGUCCUGUACUGGUGUAUUCUAAGCAGGUGUGUCCUGUAAGGGUGUGUUCUACUACACAGGUGUGUCCUGCACAGGUGUGUUCCGCACACACUGGUGUGUCCUGUGCAGGUCUGUUCUAUGCAGGUGUGUCCUGCACAUGUGUGUUUUACACAAGCGUGUCCUGCACACGUAUACCUGUACGGGUGUGUUCUACACAGGUGUGUCCCGCACACGUAUACCUCCACAGGUGUGUACUAUACAGGUGUGUUCUACACAGGUGUGUCCUAUAUGCUUUCCAGGUGUGGGGGGCCGUAGACCGGCUCGGCAUGUGGACUCUCGUCGCUCUUUAUGGACAUUCUGGCUCGUAUUUGCGUGCGCGCGCGUACCAAGUGCCACUGGUCCAGAGUGUGUUGCCUAUAGCAGCAACACACGAUAUUUUGAUGACGUGAGCAAAAUCUACUUCACUUCAUCAAAUCUCCAAAAGGACGAAACCAUUGCAAAAUAAAUAUUUGUCGUUAUUAAAAAUGACAAGCGAGCAGUCGACUUUGAGAGGAAGAAAAAAGACGUUACAAAUCAUAAAUCUGCUUGGCAAAAAAGUGCCUAAUAACUCACACACGUAACCUGUUGUGUCCUACUUCUCCAUCAUCUUGGUCGCCAUGACGACCGCAUCGGCUGGCGGAAUGAUGGACGUUAAGGACGUUAACGUGUGUUUAACCCCCUGGUGUGUGUGCGCGCGCGUGUGUGUGUGUGUGUGUUGCCACAUAAGCUUUAAACUGUGUGUUUUGUUAUGAAGUGAUGUAAGUUUGUGUUUACCAUCAUCAACUUUUAUGUUCUCGAUGCAAAAAAAAAAAAAGAAGGGUUGACGUGAGGAUUCCUGCAAGUUUCGGCAAAUUUUGCAAUUUUUUUCUACGUACAAAAAGAUUCUAUAUUCUUAAGACGAACUUUAUUGAUCUUGCAGGAUCCUGCCAGCGUUUGGGGUAAAAAAAAAAAUACGUAAAGCACAUCAUCUUCAGCCCUGCUUGAGCGUAAAAACAUAAUUAUUCACUUGAAGUAUUUACUGUAUGUGCGUCCUUUUUAUUAUUAUUUUUUUUUUAUUCCAUCUCGAUUCUGUACACUGCUGCUGAAAUUUUAUUUUCCGGAGGGAAUUUUCCUGAAGGAAUCGAUAAAGUACUAUAUCUACUAAUAAGUUGUCGGCUGAUAGGCUCCUCCCACUUCCUUUACAGGAGGGUGGGGGGCAGGGGGGGCAUGUAAGAUAUGAAGGAAUUGUUAUGAAAUUAUAAGGCAUAGUGGUACACAAUGUUGGUUUUGAGGCGCUGCCUUGGUGACUUGGUGGUCGUGGGUUCGAGUCCCGGUGUUUUAGUAGAAAAAGAUUGAAAGUAGUUUCCGACACUACUUUUGGCCAUCAUGUGUUACUACACUUUUUUAUUGGUUUCAUGGCUUCUUCCUGUCAUUUGAUCCACCAAUGAGAAGCCAGAGGCGUGGCUUAUUAUUUUUUUUCCACAUGUAUUUUGUUUACCGCUGCACUUUGAUGACAUAGAGGACUAAUAUGGACUUUUAAUAUUUAUCUGAUGUUUGUUCCACAACAACAUUUAUUAUUCCUAGGAAUAGUUCAUUAAUGCCUGCAUGAAAACGAGUCGCCGAGAGAACUUUCUGCUUCUCGCCGACUUCUCGGCUAAAACCCAGAUCGCUGACCUUUCAGAAUUCUCCUCAGAAGCCAAAAACGAGAAAUUCCCAAAUCGGAACGGCGGCGUUCCUCAAGUGCCAAACGUCUGCCGCGGGUUCUGAUUCAUGUUGGAUCCACGUCCUCCAUGACGAUUGGAACGAUCGGAAGGAGACCCGUCCUUCGGACUUUGUGAGAAUUGUGCGGGUCAGAGGUCUGGCACACUGUCAGGGACUUGGAGAUGUUUGGAGCGCAAACAUCUGCAAGUGUCUUCAGUGUGGAGCUGCUGGAGGUCAUGUGACGUCCAGAGUGUUAUUGCAGAUCUUUUUUAUUAUUAUUAUUAUUACUUUUUGUAACCUGGUCUAUAUGACAUUUGUUUACAGGAAACAGAAAACAACAAUAGAAUCUUUGGGCAGCUAAUGAUUCCAUCCUAGUGCUGAGGUGACAAUUCCAUUCAGAACCGAUUCUUGAUUCAAACCGAUUCUCGAUUCAAUAUUAACCUUUACUCAAGCUGAUUCUCGAUUCAAACGUACUCAAGCUGAUUCUCGAUUCAAACGUAUUCUGGACUCAAACCCAUUCUCGGUUAAACUCGAUUGUCGAUCCAAACCGAGUCUCGAUUCCAACCAAUUAUUGAUUCAAACUGAGUCUCGAUUCAAACCAAGUCUUGAUUCAAACCGAUUUACAAUUCAGAAAGAUUCUCGAUCCAAACCAAUUCUUGAUGAAACACAAUUCUCGAUCCAAACCAAUACUCUGGAGUCAAACCAAUUCUCGAUUCAAACUGAUUCUCGAUACAACACGAUUCUCGGUUAAAAUGAUUCUUGAUGCAAACCGAUUUUCAAUUCAGACAGAUUCUUGAUUUAAACCAAUUAUUGUUUCAACAUUAUUCUCAAUCCAAACCAAUUCUUGAUUCAAAUAGAGUCUCGAUUCAAACCAAUUCUUGAUUCAACAUGAUUCUUGAUUCAAACCUAUUUUCAAUUCAGAAAGAUUCUUGAUCCAAACCAAUUCUUGAUUAAACACGAUUCUCGAUCCAAACCGAUUGUCUGGAUUGGAACCAAUUCUCGAUCCAAACCGAUUGUCUGGAUUGGAACCAAUUCUCGAUCCAAACCGAUUCUCUGGAGUCAAACCGAUUCUCGAUUCAACAUGAUUCUUGAAGCAAACCGAUUUUCAAUUCAGACGGAUUCUCGAUUCAAACCAAGUGUUGUUUCAAGAUGAUUCUCAAUCCAAACCAAUUCUUGAUUCAAAUAGAGUCUCGAUUCAAACCAAUUCUUGAUUCAACAUGAUUCUUGAUUCAAACCUAUUUUCAAUUCAGAAAGAUGCUUGAUCCAAACCAAUUCUUGUUUAAACACGAUUCUCAAUCCAAACCGAUUGUCUGGAUUCAAACCAAUUCUCGAUCCAAACAGAUUCUCUGGAUUCAAACCAAUUCUCGAUUCAACAUGAUUCUUGACUCCAACCGAUUUUCAAUUCCGAAAGAUUCUCAAUCAAAACCAAUUCUCCCGAGUCUCGAUUCAAACCACAUUCAACAUGAUUUUCAAUCCAAACCAAUUCUUGAUUCAAACCGAGUCUUGAGCUAAACCAAUUCGCCAUUAAAACCAAUUCUCGACGGAACCCGAUUCUCGAUGCGAACCGAUUCUCAAUUUAAACCAAUUCUGGAUUCAAACCCAUUCUUGAUGAAAGUCUUUUCUCAAUCCAAACCGAUUCUCGAUUAAACUCAAUUCUCGAUCCAAACCGAUUCUGGAUUCAGACCAAUUCUGGAUUUACCAUUAUUUUCGAUCCAUACCAAUUCUUAAUUCAACACGAUUCUCAAUCCAAACCGAGUCUCGAUUCAGACCAAUUCUGGAUUCAAACCAAUUCUCUAUUCAAAAUGAGUCUUGACUCAAAACUUAUUUUCAAUUCAGCAAGAAUCUCGAAUCAAACCAAUUCUCGAUUCAAACUGAUUUCCACUUCAACACCAUCUGAUUCAAAUUGAGUCUGGAUUCAAUGCGGUUCCUGAUUCAAGCUGAUAGUGGUUUGAACAUGAUUUUUGAGUCAAAAAAUGAAGUAUUUGGUGUAAUAUUUAUAACAAAACAUUUUUAAAACAGAUUACAGAUCAGAAAAGGAGUACGUCUUUCUAAAAAUCGAUUCUCACAAAUUAAAAAUAUAUAUAAAAAAAAAUGUUUUAACCGAUUUGGAAUCAGGAUGAAUAAGAAUCGCGCUUCGGAUGUGAGUCCAUUAUUUAUUAGCACCUUGAGUGAACUAGCAUCAACAAGCGAGGAACGUGCGACGCUGGUUGAUGCGUCGAAAGUUAGCGACAAAAAAAAAAAGUGACGCUAACGGCAAAAAAAAAAGUGCAAUUGUGAUUUUUGUCGUGGGAACAAAACAAAAGUUUUCUGUUUGCUGGAAGCGACAAGUUUGUGUUUUCGGACAUAAUGAGGACCCUAGUCCAACAUGCAUGUUUCUCACACAUGGGACUUUUACACAGCAGACAAAACAAACCAGGCAACUUUUCAGGGAGAAGGAAAAUUACAAUUGAAAUGAAAUAAAAUGGAAUAUUUUUUGCUACUGAGAUGAUUCCCCAGGAGAAGAAAAAAAGUGUUUGUUUUUUUUAGAGUGUGUAAAAGUAGUCAUGCUGACUAAAAUCAAUAAAGGUGACUUUUAAGUUGCA